AUAACCUCACAGUAGGUACAGGGCAUUUUUCGUAGGCCGAUAUAACUUAUAGAAAUGACAAGGAUAUAUAUACUGGGCGAUAGGCAUUUUUGUAGCAGAGCACACAAAAUCCUAACGAUGCCAACAGCAUUUUAAUAAUGCCUUUAUAAACUGCUUACUCCACAAGCCAAGACAUAAGUUAACGUGUCAAAAGCAGUUGCAGCUAGACACUGAAACACAAGUAUCUGGUGGCUUUGAUAAAUGUCAGCCCACGUUAACAUGAAGACACAAAACGGAUCAAUUCAAUAAUAUUAGUUUCAACCCAAGAUUCGGUUUAGUUUGCAUGGGAUGUGCACCCUUUUAUAGCAAUGUCAAUUUGGGCGAUGAUAUUGAGAGCCUCACUGAGAAAACCGAAACUUAAAUCCAUUUUGCAAUCACUUUUUAUAGGGCAUCUCCCGGGCAAAUGAAAUGCAUCUAGAACCAAUCGUCAUCGGAUUUGUCACACAAAGAAAACAAGAUCGACCAGAU